rnacentral:lncRNA from 1 species
UGAACUUUCACAACCUAUGUUUUUUCUAUCGGUAAGUGUUCUUUUUUUCCCGGGCAUUCAUAAUUUGUACCUUUAUACAAUAAUACUCGAACAUACGGUACCAGAGAGUUUGUACUUCUCAAAAAUAAUCACUGAAGUUCUUUCUGUGCAAUAAAUUUUUAGAGGUAUGAUAUUCACAGUAGAAAAUUCCACAAUAAUGUAACUGCAGAGGCUAUAAACUGGAAUUUUCUUUGAUAAACAGUGACGCUAUAAGUCACAUGUUACAGCUACAACAUACAAAACCAAAAAUUGUACAACACUCGUACAUUUCAGACCAAAGAUUUUAGUAUAUGAGUGCAAAAAUAGUAGAAAAUUAUACAUGGACCGAGUCCUUGUGUUUUCUUUCUUCAGUGUCCAGAUCAUACAAUAAAACAUACACCUAACACAUGCACUGCACAUACAAGUGCAAACUCUCCCAGUAUAUUUUGUUUUGCAAACUCCUAGAGUUCUUGUGUUUUGAACUCCUCUGGUUGAACCUCCCAUUGAAAUAGAGUCCUUGCCAUGAUAUACAAUCUGCAACUGAGCAUCAUAUAUGCGUUUAGUUCAAAUUCCAGGAAUUAUCAAUGAGGAACAGUUCAAAAGCAACCAGACACAAGUUCAAUAGAAGCACAUGGCAAAAACUAUCUACAAAAGGUAGCACAGACACAAAAGUUUAGUACUCCCUCCCGUCCCAUAAUAUAGAACUGAUGCAAGUUCCAACUUUUGUCGUGAACUGAUGUGGAUGAGAUGCAACCCAAACCAACAGGUGAUUUGCAAACUUAUGAGAAAUAAUUCUGUUAAACACCUAGCUUCAGUACAAUCAUUUAUGAAAAGUUAUCUAGUUCCAAAUUAUGACCUUGAAGAAUAAUUCUCAUAAGCUAGAACAAGCACGUAGAAGAGUGCUGAGGGCACACAUAAUUUUGGGGGUAUUUCCUCAAGCUUCUACACUUCUUUUAAGUAGACAAAAAUGAUGAAAGGAAACACACUUUGUAAGAUGUACUGAAAAAGCCUAAAAAGGUGAAGUGAAAUGUUUUGAAGCUCCAGGAAGCCUCUCGACGAACUGAAACUUCGUGUAUCCCAGGAGGUUGACCUGCAGAGGAGCAUGAACUAGAACAUUAAGCAUCGACUUCUCACAAUUUAGUUACAUAUAAUAAACAACCACAAGCACUUGGGAUAGCUAGGCAUAUAAACAUGCUUGAACAGGAAGAAAUUCUACAUAAUUUAGUAACAUAUAAACAAGAAGUGCUGAUCUAGGAAUAUAAUAAAGAGCCUAUACAUGUUGUAUCUACAAGAGCUUGUACAUGAUAUAGUUGCAAGAGAAACUAACUAGAGCAACAUUUUUCUCUUCUCACAAUGAAUAAAAAAUUUCUGUAUGUCGAAGGACUAGCAAGGGUCUCAGGAAUCAACUACAUUUUCAAUCAACUCGAUAUUCAUCAGCACUAUUAUAGCUGGACAAGAAGCUCAGAAUUGCAGCCGCACACGCACUGAACUUACAGAAGUUUUACUUUGUACUUUUCUAGGUGAUAUAUCUUACCUUACAGGGUUUGAAAACGUGAACUGAUUAUAUGAAGGAGUACAAGGGGA